CGCGACUCGCGGAGCAGUGCACCGCCGCCAUUUAUAUCCAGCGCACACAACACACAGACUAGCAGCAGCGGCCGUCUGGAGUAGGCCCUUCGCGACCGCCGCCGCAUCUCGAUAAGAACAGUCGAGCAGGCAAAUAGUCGCCGCGAGAAGUAGAAAAGCCGUGUCCAGUGCUGCAGUACGGCACCGUAGACAGACCGUGCGACGCUUUCCCCGGCGAGCAGCGAGAAGAAGAAGGCGGAGAGAAGGAAGAAGAUAAAAAAGAAGACCGAGCGCGAGAGAGACAAUAGGGGGCGGCUGCCGCAGCGCGGGUGUCUCUGAUGGGAGUAGUCCUCGGUGCCGGCGAGAUGCUGCCGCUCGCUGACUCCUGCGGGUCUGGCUCCUCGCUCUAAGCCUUUGUCCGGUGCCGUGUGCUUCCCGGCCCGUAGGCGGCCGACGCAACGACAGCAGCAGCAGUAGCGGCGACGACAGCAGAGGAUACGCGGAAUAAAGAGGGAGAUGGAGUAGUAGUAGCGCGGAGAGCAAGCGAGAGAGUGCGUGCGUGUGAAAUGAAAGUGCCGACGCCAUAUUGGCUGCUCGGCGAGGAGUGAGUCGCGCGCGGACGACGCCGAGGACGACGACGACGACGACGACGACGACUACGACGAAGUGGUGGUGGUGGUGAGUGCAGUGUGCCGCGGAACUAUGGAGGAGACCAAGAUCAUCUACCACAUCGACGACGAGGAAACGCCGUAUCUCGUGAAGCUCAACAUAUCGCCCGAACGGGUAACUCUCGCCGACUUUAAGAAUGUGCUCAACCGGCCGAACUACAAGUACUUCUUCAAGUCGAUGGACGAUGACUUUGGCGUCGUCAAGGAGGAAAUCGUCGACGACGAUGCACACUUGCCCUGCUUCAACGGCCGAGUCGUGUCCUGGCUUGUCUCGGCCGAGGGCAGUAACGUGUCGGACGGGGCGUCCCAGUGCACGGACACGGUGCCGCACCAGGAUCCGAAACACGACAGGGUGGACCAUGUGACGCCGGGUCACACCAACCGCGCCCAGCUCUCCCUCUCUCACGAGGACACGCUCACCGAGACCGAGAGCAUCAUCAGUAGCAGGCAGGGCCAUCACCUUCACAAAAGCUCACGGCAUCACACGGACAAGUACGAGAAGUACAACAAGUACAACGGCUUGCGCAUAAACGGCCACUCGAAGCACCGGUCUGGCAUGGGGUACGAAUCGGCGUCGAUCUUGAGCUCCGACCUCGAGACAACGACCUUUUUGGAGUCCGAUGACGAUGCCAGUAGUCGCAUCACCUCGACGACCGGCAGGCACACGAACAUGAGCAGUGCGGUAGACAGAGCAACGCUUGAUCGGCGCAGACCGCAGAGACGCCGACGACACAGGUUGCCACCAAUGUCCAGGACAUCUUCAUUCAGCAGUAUUACAGAUAGCACAAUGUCCCUUAAUAUUAUAACAGUCUCCUUGAAUAUGGAUACAGUCAAUUUCCUUGGUAUUAGCAUCGUCGGCCAGAGCAAUAAGGGUGGCGACGGUGGAAUCUACGUUGGAUCUAUAAUGAAGGGUGGAGCAGUGGCCUUGGAUGGUCGCAUAGAGCCAGGCGACAUGAUUCUCCAAGUGAACGACAUCAACUUCGAGAACAUGUCCAACGACGAGGCUGUUCGAGUGCUGCGUGAGGUCGUGCAGAAGCCUGGGCCGAUAAAGCUGGUGGUGGCCAAGUGCUGGGAUCCAAAUCCAAAAGGCUACUUCACGAUCCCACGAACGGAACCAGUGCGGCCGAUUGACCCUGGAGCGUGGGUGGCACACACGGCGGCCAUCAGGGGCGAGGGUUUCCCGCCUCGGCCGCCCAGCGCCACGACCCUCACAUCCACGUCCAGCAGUCUGGCUAGCACGCUACCCGAUACUGAGCUAAUGCAUUUGUUCUCAGGGCCGUUUGACGAGUUGGAUCUGUCUGUGAACACGGACAUGCCAACGAUCGUGCGAGCGAUGGCCCGGCCGGACUCGGGUCUCGAGAUACGCGACCGCAUGUGGCUGAAGAUCACUAUACCAAACGCCUUCAUCGGCGCGGAUGUCGUCGACUGGUUACACAACCACGUCAAGGGUUUCAUCGACAGGCGUGACGCUCGCAAGUAUGCUUCACUGAUGCUGAAAGCUGGUUUCAUCAGGCACACGGUCAACAAGAUCACCUUUUCCGAGCAGUGCUACUACAUAUUCGGCGAUCUCUGCUCGGCGAUGAGCAACAUGAAGCUGGACUGCGACACAGUCGGGCCUCUGCCACCGCCGAGCGCCUGGGACAUGCCUUACUCGGGAACGUACGCGCCCCAUUCGGCCACGGGAUACAGUCCCAUGCCCUUCAACUUUACCAACGAACCUACCGUUUACGGCUAUCAUCGAGAAGAGAGCUUGCACAGCGGUUCAGGAGGGAGCAGCGCGGGUAGCGAACUUAUGUUCAAGGCGCCCAUGCAUGAUGUAAAGUCUUGUUGUUCUGCUUCUGAAUCAGAACUGCAGAUGCCGGUGGUGCCGGCGAUGCCGAAGAGCACGGCGACGACAGUGACGACGGGCGGCAGCGGCAACGGCAACGGGAGCGGCUCUAACGGCAAACGGUCCAACGGCAGCCGCAGUCGCAGCAGCGGUUCCGAGCAGUCGGUGCAGACAGGGACCGGUUCCGGAGGAGGAGGCGGAAGCAGCGUCGGCCCCCAGCAGCAGCAACAGCAGCAAGACCUAUCUGCCUUAAGGUCCCGAGCCCAAUGCCUGAGGAGGUUUCGCUUUCAACGCGCGGACGACAAUCUACCCUUGACGCAGUUCGAAGCUAUGUCAAUCGUCGAUUGAUUACAAUUGGGGAUUUGCGAGAGAGUAGCGCGGAAAGUGAUUCUCUAUGGGGGACGAUAUCUUCUACUACCUUCUCUCCCACCUCCAAAGCACACAAUCACACACAAAAUCGCAAAAUCGCACUUUUUUCACGGAUUUUAUUUCUCGCACUCUUGUACGUGUACAAACAAAAUAAGGAUUGUCCAGUACAAUGGGGCAGCUAUUUCUUUAAAAAAGUCACAAUGGUCGUAUCCGUGAAGGAUAAUUAUCUCUGUCAGCUUAUAAACGAACGAAUCGUCGAGGUGAUACGAGAGAAAACGAAAUCGCAAAUGACAAAAUUUCGAUAUAAAUAUAUAAAAAAUGCAAACACUGCGGAGACACGAAUUGGCUAUCACGGGUCCGUUUUUUUUAUCGAGUACGAAGAUAUAUCGAUAUUCGAGGCUGUUUGAGCAAGGCGAGACAAACAAGUAAAUAAGAGAAAAAGAAAAAUAAUCAUAUUCGAGAAGGGUUGAUAAAAUACACGCACGCAGAUACGUACCUCGAGAAUUUUUUUACAUAUUUAUAUAUAAAUAAUUAUAAAUAUUAUAUAUAUGUUAAAAAAAUAUAUACGGAAGUGUUAAGAGAGAAGAGAGCAUGAGAAGAAAUGCAUAAGAAUAAGCAUACGCGUCGUUCUGUGUCGCAGCUAGACAACGCAAUUAUCGUAUUUUGCAGAACCGUAUAAUUGUAAAUAAUCAAUCAUAUCUAUAGUAACGACUACGCAUUAUACUCAAAUGUGCCAUUUACGCAUUCUUUCUUUCUAUUAGUUUAAAUCUAAAGCUAGCUAACGAAAAUUAAAUCUAAGACGUGCAAGUAGUGAAAAGCGGAAAAGCAGGCAGGCGGUGUACCGAAAGCGAAACAUUGAAAUUUAAAGAUCUUUUUUUUUAUUCAUUACGUUUAAAUUACAUGACAUACUACACACUGUGAAUGCUUAAAAAAAAAAGAAGACAUUGAUGUGUCGAUAUCGCAAGCAUAUUUUGUUCUCAUACAUUUUGUUCUUCGUUCAUUUUCUGCACAUUCGCAUGAGCAUUUUAUAUAUCAAACAAAACAACAGCCACAACAAAUCUAUGAACAAUUAGUCGUUAUUUAGGUCCCGAGGUAAGUGUGCCUGAGUAAUGAAUAUUUUUUAUCCGUUGCAUGUACAUAUAUAUAUAUAUAUAUAUAUAUAUAUGUACAUCUUAUUUGUACUCAGCCUCCACUCGCCUUGUCAAUUGUAUACGAAAAACGAAAAAGAGAUGAAAAACCGAAGAGACGAGCUCGUUGCUUUUUGUCUUCCGUAAUCAUCGCAAUCAUUGAUUAUGUGUGUGUAUGUUUCUUUUUAAGCCUGUAAUUAAUUGUGAUUUUGAUCUCGCUCGUCCGCAGCCCAGUGACGCUUAUACAUAUAUAUACACGCGUGAUCGUGGGCUCAGCGACGAGAGAAUUAACAAAUAAAACGGACGUUGAGCGAUGGCACAAUAAAAAAAAUUUCUCUACAAGAGCGCACCUCCUUAUUGAACUCUCGAGGCUUAACGUGACUCGAGAGUCGUAUUCGAAUAUACAUACAUAGAGAAUAAUCACUCGAUCGAGCUUAUUUAUUUAUGCUACUCGUUGGAUUGUAUUUGAUGUUAUCGUCUGGUUAAUGAAAAAAAAAUUAGCCGAGGGGCUGAAAGUCGACGUACAAAGAGUCAAUUUUUUCGUUAUUCUGUUUUACCUUCCGAAUCGUUUUUUUUUAUCGUGCUUUAAUUAUUAACGGUAUGAAUGUGACUAAAUUAUAGUAGACGAGUAAUCGAGAAAAUGAAAAUGAUACUCACACGGAGUAGCCGUUAUUCUGUGCAUAAAACAAUGAGUGUAAUCGCUAGACCUAAGAGAAUUUUAUAUAUUCGAGCCGACUUUCGACCUCGACGCUAUAGUUGUAUCGAACAAGUGUAAAUGUUUUCGGUGUCAGUAGUUUGCCUUUACGCAAUGAGAAAAAUUUUUGUUUCAGUAAUUAAGUGUAGCAAUUUUGUAGCCUAGGGUUCGGAGCUUUUCAACGAGCCUAUGUAUACAUUUUUUACCUCUCGUCGCGACGAAGUAUAAUCAAAAGGACACUUAUCAAAAAGGGAGUUGACGCGUAGAACUCUAACGUAGCUUUCAACCGAGUAAUUAUUUUGUAUAUCAUAUGUCGAACGCGUUCGCAUAUCGCAUCCUUAGGCUUGUCGAAAACAUUCCCUGCCCGAGGUGUAUGACACGUAAAAGUGACGCCAAAAACUACAUACGCAAGCGCGUCGCAAUUAUAAGUGGAACUUUUCAUGCAUUUCGAUAGAAAAGAUAUGGCAGAGCAAAGAGUAAAAAGCAAGAGAUCGAUAAUUAAAAGUAGUUGAGACACGUUUAACUAGUAAUUGUAAAAGACUUUUUAUACGAAAAACUAUCACCCAAUUGACGCCGCAUCGCUUUUUGGCGAGCCUCUGAUAAUUGACAUGAAUUAUAUCGUCAGCAUUAUAUCCCUUUGUAAAAUAUACUCAUAUUUUAUAUUAUGCCUGGCCUUGUGGGCUUCGUUCGACAAUUUCUGGCCUCUUGCUGUGAAAGGAACGCGCAUUAUAAGUAGACACAUCCGUUUGGCCGUCGAGUCGUAAUGGAAGCCAGAAGUAGCCGAGCGAUCCGACCGCUUUUUCUUCCUCUACUUCUUGUCUUAUAUAUUUCUCUCUUGGACCGUUUAUAUAAAUGUCUCACUCACUCUCACCGUCACAUCCAAUAUCACCGCCACCACCACCACCACUAUCACCAUUUCGAUUUGUGUAUUAUAUAUGUGUUGCACUCUCUGUCCACCUUGAUUUUGGUCAUGACGUCAAGCUGUCUCACCCAACCUUUGUCCGCGGGCACGAAGCACGAGUGCACCAUGUGAGAAACGGGCAAACAAACAAACAAAAAUACAUUACAAGUCCCACAAGUCACACGUUGUAAUCCAGUUAAAUAUAUUUUUGUGCCUUGCCGUGCAUCUCAAAACCGUCACCCAAUAAAGCAGUCCGACGAGCCCAAGAAGAGACCCAGACGCAGACCAGCGACCUGGACAACAGCAGAGAUGAUGAAGAGGACAUCCUGGAGUACCAUUUCUUGCACAAGUGAAGAGUCUGCGAGGACGAGACGGCAGCUGCAGCGUCGGAUCGAUGCGCGGCCCAGAACAAGUGAUACCUGCUGAAACGAAACGAAUAAGAUAUAAUAUACCGAGGCAAAGGAGCAAAAUGAAAGGACGAAAUUCGUUACCCCUGAAACACACGUACAGACACGUAUAUUUGAGGCUACUUUGUUAGGGCCAUCGCCGACACACGAGAUAUGCAUAUUAUAUUUCUAUAUAUUUCAUAGAAAGUUUUUUUAUAUAUAAAGGACUUGAAGUGAAAAAAAGCGCGCGAGCAGUGAUGUAGCAGGAAAGUGAAAUGCAGCAAGGCAAGCUAUGGGUGACAAACAAAAAAGUAACAGAUCAAUUGACGAAAGAGAGAGAGAAAGAGAGAUUCGAGCGUUUACAAAAUAAAAGUAAUGUACCACUUGCACUAGAUAAGUGUAUAUGCGUAUGUAAGAUUUAUAAGGUAUCCAAUGUUGUUGUAUUUAAUGAGUAUAUAUAAUUAUAUACGCGGGGAGAAGAAAAGCAAGACGAAAAAGUAAAAGACACAGAGGGACAAAGGGGGGGAUGAAAAAAAUAUAUCGUUCGAUUAAAAUGCGAGGGUUUGCUCGAUCCGCGACAGUACAAUAUCGGGGAUUCGAGCCACCUUCGGACUUCGAUCGUCGCUCUCACACCAAAACGACUCUCUCGCACACUCACACACGUACUCAUCAUUCACGCACACACGACCAAUCAAAACCAACAGACAGGCAAAUAUACACAUAUAGGCAAGCGAAUCGCCGAGAAGAGAAAAGAAGCCGAUGAAAAAAAAAAUUAAUUAAUAAAUAUAAUAAUAGUGUAUUCAAACAAUUAAUAAUGCGCGCCGCGGUGGCCCGUGGGGAGUCGCCGCAGCCGUUGCGCGCGCGUGAGGAAAGAAACUCUCGUCCCACUCACCCUCCCGACAGCUGGGAAUUGACGAGGCGCUCGAUCGAUUCCCAGUCUCUCUCAAACGCACCUACACAGCCAUACACACGCAAACUCCAUACCAUUACACACCAACCACCAACUUCAGGUACUCGAAUCGUAGUAGAUGUUUAAGGCGCCUUAUAAAAGCGGGAUCGUCUCCCGCCGAAAUUGCGAGCGAUCGUCUCCCAUUAUAAAUCUUUUCAAGCGCACGCACAACAUGCACACGUAUACUUGUCAUUGUCGUCCUUUUUCACUCCCCAUACAUGUGUCGCUGAGACGUCAUCGUCGUGGCUUUGUCGAGUGUCGAGUAACGUUUUAAUAAUCAAAAUAACACGAUACGUAAUCGGAAAGUAUACGUAUAUGUACGCAUAUAUACAUAGAGGGAUAAUACGGAGAUUAUACAGGAUAUAUAUUCUAUUGUAAAUUUGUGUAAAAAAAGCACGUUAUUAAAGGGAGCUGAUCGUGUGAGAGUACCUUGAGAUUCGGCGUGCUCGUUCAUCAGUUAAUAUACAGAAUCAUACUGAGAGCUUCGUCGACUCCGUAGUGCACAAUCAAAAUAAUAACCUGUAGGUAUAACUUACGAGAGGGUAACAAUUCUGAAUGUUAAAGCAAUCAAAAGUUCGGGUCAUUUAUACGUUGAUUAAUUUGUUUGAAUUUUCAAAAAGCCGCAGCCUAAGAUGCACUAAAGUAAUUGUGACUUUCCACCAAUCUUAUCGAUUGGCCUAACAAGUCCGCGACUUUUUUAAAAAUCAUUUUUUAUUGCUGCACGAAAAAGUAUUAAUAGUAUAAUAUAGCGCCGCCGCAUAAGUAUUAAUCGCAGGGACGCGAUUUAAAAAUUCGACACUUCGAGAAGCCAUAGAGAGACGUCGAAGCGAAAGGCAACCCCGAUGAUCAAUCGAAAUUUCGGCGCGAUCCCGGUAUAAACGAUUUUCUCUCCCUGUCAUGUCGGGUCGAACAGCUCCUUUUUUUACGCUCAAGUCGGCGGCCGUCAAGCUAACGGUCGUCGAUCGACGCAGUAUACAUGUACAAAGGUAUCCGUACCGACUUUUUGAUAUAUGCGUUUUUUCAAGGUGUAUAGCUCUUCUUCUCAUCUCUCGAAGAGAGCAAAGAGAAAACAGAAGCAAACAUAUUAUGUCGUACACACUGUCUUUCGUUAUAAAUAUCUCUGUCUUCGAACGCGGCAUUCGUUUCAAUUAUAAUAGCGUAUAAGGUUCAUAGAAGCGAAGGAUAUGAGAAAGCAACAAACAAACAAAGAAUAAUUAACGCAACAAAGUCUGUGCCAAAUAUGCAUGUUGAAAGUCUAAAACGCUUCCCGUCAAUCGCCCGCAUCACAAUACCGAAAUAACGUACAUACACAAUGAAAAGGACACACCUUAAUAUCUAAUAUCGAGAAAUAAAGAAGACUUAUGAAACGAAAUGAAGACUAAGCUCAGAUAUAUAAUACGAGAUUAUAAUAUGCGACCCGUCGAAGGAACGUAAGAACUGAUUCGUACGAAUUUAAACACGAGGACUUUUCUUUAUCGACACUUUUGUAUUCUAGAAAAUAAAUUAAUCUGGUGUGACCAGCAUCAGUAAUUGCCAUGAA